GACGAACGCUGGCGGCGUGCCUAAUACAUGCAAGUUGAGCGCUGAAGGUUGGUACUUGUACCAACUGGAUGAGCAGCGAACGGGUGAGUACCGCGUGGGGAAUCUGCCUUUGAGCGGGGGACAACAUUUGGAAACGAAUGCUAAUACCGCAUAAAAACUUUAAACACAAGUUUUAAGUUUGAAAGAUGCAAUUGCAUCACUCAAAGAUGAUCCCGCGUUGUAUUAGCUAGUUGGUGAGGUAAAGGCUCACCAAGGCGAUGAUACAUAGCCGACCUGAGAGGGUGAUCGGCCACAUUGGGACUGAGACACGGCCCAAACUCCUACGGGAGGCAGCAGUAGGGAAUCUUCGGCAAUGGACGAAAGUCUGACCGAGCAACGCCGCGUGAGUGAAGAAGGUUUUCGGAUCGUAAAACUCUGUUGGUAGAGAAGAACGUUGGUGAGAGUGGAAAGCUCAUCAAGUGACGGUAACUACCCAGAAAGGGACGGCUAACUACGU
rnacentral:rRNA from 1 species